GCCGCCAUAGCUCAGUCCGGUAGAGCGUUCCCCCUGUAAGGGAAGGGCCCCAGGUUCAAAUCCGUGGUGGCGGCACCA
rnacentral:tRNA from 1 species